GAUGAACGCUGGCGGCGUGCCUAAUACAUGCAAGUCGAGCGAACAGACGAGGAGCUUGCUCCUUCGACGUUAGCGGCGGACGGGUGAGUAACACGUAGGUAACCUACCUAUAAACCGGGGAUACCUUCGGGAACCGGGAGUUAAUCCGGGAUAAUAUUUCAAACGCCUUGUUUCGUUGUUAAAAGAUGGCUUGCCUUUACUUUUUGGAUGGACCUGCGCCGUAUUAGCUAGUUGGUAAGGUAACGGCUUACCAAGGCAACGAUACGUAGCCGACCUGAGAGGGUGAUCGGCCACACUGGAACUGAGACACGGUCCAGACUCCUACGGGAGGCAGCAGUAGGGAAUCUUCCGCAAUGGGCGAAAGCCUGACGGAGCAACGCCGCGUGAGUGAUGAAGGUCUUCGGAUCGUAAAACUCUGUUAUUAGGGAAGAACAAACGUGUAAGUAACUGUGCACGUCUUGACGGUACCUAAUCAGAAAGCCACGGCUAACUACGUG
rnacentral:rRNA from 1 species